rnacentral:lncRNA from 1 species
GGGGCAUCUGGGGACCAAGCCCAGGGUCCUGUCCUCAUUACUUAGACACUUCAGACUCAGUUAUAAAGGAGAUUGAGUGGUCUCCUGGAAGGGUGAGGUCUGCCCGGAAUGUCUGAGCGGCCCCAGGCAGAGAGCAGCAUUGGCUGGGCUGCGUGGCCUAUGUGGAGUUCUCACAGAUCUUCGGCAUUUCAAAGGCAGCCCUGAGGUAUCUGGAACCUGGUUCCAGGAAUGCUGAGGGGCACAACGGGUCAGACAAGCCAGGAUCGUGCAAGAGGGUGGGGGCAGGACAGCAUCCGUGUCACGAGAGGGUGGGGCAAGGGUUGAGUCCCCACGCGGGACUGGUCCUGUCUGGCAGACAAGACAAGCCGUGGCAGCACUCUUCACAGCCCUAAGCAGUGACAGCACCAAAGGAGCGGCUCAGCGGGGUUCGAAUCCCCCCAUAACCUCCAGGAGUCCCCCCAAAGCCGCCCCAAGGAAGCAUAUGGUUUUUCCCAGGUAGCUUUCAAGACAAGUUAGCUUCCAACCCGCUUGCUGCUCCCAAAUUCCUGCUAAACGGAAACUUCGGGGCGUCCCCGCUCCAGGAAAGCCCUGGGAGAAAGAAGUUCCUGUUGGAUUAAAGCCUUACAUUUGGGAAGUUAGCCCCUCUCUUCGAGCCUCAGUUCUCCCUUUGCAAUGGGAAACUCAUCUCUGCCCCCUCAGGAUGAGUUGCAUAGCUCCUCAGCAUGCUGCAUGUGGAGAUUUCUGAGCUCUCAGAACACAGCAGUUCUCAACUAGGAGUGGAUGUCAGAAUCGCCUUGAUCCAUCUUCAAGUAAUGUCUGUGCAUGGUGUGAGGAUUGGCCUGGAGGUGGCGCCGCUGCUGUUGGUCUGGAACCACGGGACCAAGACUCAGGAGGGUCUGGCAAAUGGAUGAGGAUGUCAUCCAGCGGAAGAGGAUGCCCAGAAGGCCAGGCUGGACCCUUUUAUCAGCCGCUGGAAGAAAGCAGAGAUAUUGCCCAAACCUAAGAGCACUGAUAUGUCUUCCACAUGCUCAAGACUUAUCUUGAAAUCUGUUUUUGACUCCUGUUUCCUGAGAUCCAGAGUGAUCUGGGUUUUAAAUACAACACCCUGGUUUCUUCAUAAAACAUUUCAAAUCUAGCCUUACGACAAAUCCUUCCAUGGCAUAGCUUAAAAAUCCUUCUGAAAAAAAUGCGCUGAGGGUUUAUAGGGCAAAGAUACA